AUGUUUCUGUCUAUCCCUGUUCUCUCCCCUCUGCACAGGCCAUACAAACGCUUCACACCGCGUGGCCGCUGCCACUCUAACCUGGUGGUCCCAGCGCGCACGACCCACGUGGAGUUCCAGGUCUCCGGCAGCCUCUGGAACUGCCGGUCUGCAGCCAACAAUGUUGAGUUCAUCUCAGCCUAUGCUACCCUCCAGUCCCUAGACUUCCUGGCGCUGACAGAAACAUGGAUUACCACAGAUAACACUGCUACUCCUACUGCUUUCUCUUCGUCUGCCCACGUGUUCUCGCAUACCCCUAGAGCAUCGAGCCAGCGGGGUGGUGGCACUGGAAUCCUCAUCUCUCCCAAGUGGACAUUCUCUCUUUCUCCCCUGACCCAUCUGUCUAUCUCCUCAUUUGAAUUCCAUGCUGUCACAGUUACCAGCCCUUUCAAGCUUAACAUCCUUAUCAUUUAUCGCCCUCCAGGUUCCCUUGGAGAGUUCAUCAAUGAGCUUGACGCCUUGAUAAGUUCCUUUCCUGAAGAUGGCUCACCUCUCACAGUUCUGGGUGACUUUAACCUCCCCACGUCUACCUUUGACUCAUUCCUCUCUGCCUCCUUCUUUCCACUCCUCUCCUCUUUUGACCUCACCCUCUCACCUUCCCCCCCUACUCACAAGGCAGGCAAUACGCUUGACCUCAUCUUUACUAGAUGCUGUUCUUCCAAUAAUCUCAUUGCAACUCCCCUCCAAAUCUCCGACCACUACCUUGUAUCCUUUUCCCUCUCGCUCUCAUCCAACACUUCUCACUCUGCCCCUACUCGGAUGGUAUUGCGCCGUCCCAACCUUCGCUCUCUCUCUCCCGCUAUUCUCUCCUCUUCCAUCCUAUCAUCUCUUCCCUCUGCUCAAACCUACUCCACCCUAUCUCCUGAUUCUGCCUCCUCAACCCUCCUCUCCUCCCUCUCUGCAUCCUUUGAUUUUCUCUGUCCCCUAUCCUCCAGGCCGGCUCGGUCCUCCCCUCCUGCUCCGUGGCUCGACGACUCACUACGAGCUCACAGAACAGGGCUCCGGGCAGCCGAGCGGAAAUGGAGGAAAACUCGCCUCCCUGCGGACCUGGCAUCCUUUCACUCCCUCCUCUCUACAUUCUCCUCUUCUGUCUCUGCUGCUAAAGCCACUUUCUACCACUCUAAAUUCCAAGCAUCUGCCUCUAACCCUAGGAAGCUCUUUGCUACCUUCUCCUCCCUCCUGAAUCCUCCUCCCCCUCCCCCCCUCCUCCCUCUCUGCGGAUGA
rnacentral:lncRNA from 8 species